UCUGGGCAUCACUGAAGGGAUUCUGUUCGAAUCUCGACCAGAACACCGACCGAUUAUUCUGGCUGAGGAUUUUCGUGGUUCUCCUCCGUCUCUCCGGACAAAUCUUGGGACAGAGAAGGAGAUACAGCACUGAGCGGCCUCCGGCGGCGUAACGUUCGUACCAGGCAACAGCUCGCUAAAUAAGUUCCAGCGUGCGACAAUGGAAGAUGUGUCUCAGUGGAUGAAUGUUAUAGCUCGUUGGUAGCCAACAGUCAGCGCGCCAAUGAACUCCCUGUGUAGGAAUGACGUCACUUGUGUUUACUGUGUUGUCCGUUUGGAGCCUAUAUAAUGAAGACCUGUUGUUGCUUAGAUUAGUGCAGUUCAGUGCAGUGUAGUGUAAGAGUUACUUGCAAGAGUACGGCUGUGAAGAGAAGACUUUAUGCGUAAUACUUGGAGUGUGUAAUUCAGUGCGACUGUUAUAGUUCCUGCGUUUUAGUUGCCUUGUCAAGAGACGACUGAUAUGUGUGUAACAGUGAAUUAUAAAGCGUAGAAAUAGCGAUAGCUAUUUAAUUACAUGUAACUAUUGGUGAUGAG